GGGAGGGUGAUUUAUAUAAGGGCGGUUUGUCUUCAUAAUCAAUUUAUUAAAUGAUCAUUGCUGCUUUUUUUCCCCUUCAUAUUUGUCAUCGCUGAAGCAGCAAUUGGUGUUUGAAACCUGUGCUGGUAUGUCAUCAAACGAGGUGCCAUUUCGAUCAAGCCAAGGUGGCCUGGCAGCCAGUCACCCAGAGCUGAGAGAAAACCAGAGCUCAAGCCCAGGCACAGAUAUGGGAUCAGCCAGGAGGGGGGCCAGACUUCUGGAUGAACUCACACUCUGUCUACUUCAUCAUCCACGUAAGGGAGUCCCUAUCAAAUUUGUUGAUCUCCUCAGACAAGCACAGCAGCCUGUGCCCUGAGGUCAAACUGAUGCUGCUCUAGGGUGACACAGGACACCGGGAGAGCUCCAAGACAACGCGCUUUCUUCCCAGGUCUGUUGUGAAGCUCAAGCAAGAGAAUCCAUGCAAUGCACUUACAAAAGUCUGCAUGCCACUCAGCAAGCAUUCCACAGAGUUCAGCUCUUUAGACAAAUACAAAGAAACAAGGCUUCUCUUCUCCAGUGAGGCAGGCUACAGAGACUUUGGACUUCCUCCCGUACCUUCUUAGGGAGAGGCUCUUUGGGGAUCCCAGGCUGCUCCACGUCCUUGGAGCUCAGCUUCCUGAGCAGUGAAUAGAAGAGCAAUCCUCAUUACAGGAGCUAGUUUGUUGACAGAGUUCAAUGGAAGGAUGAAUUAAAGCAUCAGAUGUACCAUAGGUUCUCAAACCUUCAUG
rnacentral:lncRNA from 1 species